UGAAAUGGGCUCUGGACCUCUGGUGGAUAUAUUUUGCUUGUUAAGAACAAGGGACAAGAUUUGCAUUUGUGUCUUUUGCAUCUGCAUACAUGUAUGUCCGUAUUCUGCUCAAAUAUUAUUUUAAUUUCGUGAUGUCUCAAACUCAGUGGUGCGCACUCCUUUCCUCAAUUUCAGAAAGUCACUGUUAUUGCCAUGACUGUUUCUAGCUCUCUUGGAAGAAGAAGAUUGCUUGCCGAGAUAAAUAGCUUUAUUGCUGUUUUUAUCCUUGCUGGACAACUCAGUU
rnacentral:lncRNA from 1 species